UACGGAGGUGGCAAGCGUUGUUCGGAAUUACUGGGCGUAAAGGGCGCGUAGGCGGAAUGGUCCGUCCGAUGUGAAAGUGCUACCGCUCAACGGAGCAAAGCCAUCGGAAACCGCCAUUCUUGAGGUCGGGAGAGGUGAGUGGAAUUGCUGGUGUAGCGGUGGAAUGUAUAGAUAUCAGCAAGAACACCGGUGGCGAAGGCGGCUCACUGGCCCGACUCUGACGCUGAGUGCGCGAAAGCGUGGGGAGCAA
rnacentral:rRNA from 1 species